CUCGUCCUCCUCUCCGUCUUCAGGAACGUGCUCCUCUCCCAUCACAACCAAGGCGCCUCUCAGGUGUUCUGUUGUAGUGUCCCUUGCUGGUUUGGCUGAAGGAGAAAGUGGAGAUGUGUUCAGGAGGAGAAAGCUGUAUGGCAAGAUAGAGAAGAGAGGAGGAGAAUGAGGAGGACGAGUGGAGGAAGAUGAUCAGAAGAACGAAGAGGGAGACAAUGAAGAGGGAAACGAGGACGAGGACUAGGAGAAGGAGAAUUAUGAAGAAGGAGCAUGCACGGAGGACUCACCUGCCGGGGGCCUGAGUAUCCUGGUGGCGGCGGCGAGAGCUGAGGUGUGGCGGGGGUUGGGCGCAGGGCUCAGGUCAUCUAAGGGCUGCAGGUCCGGCUCCACCCAGUCCCUCGCUA